rnacentral:rRNA from 1 species
CCUACGGGAGGCAGCAGUGGGGAAUAUUGCACAAUGGGGGAAACCCUGAUGCAGCGACGCCGCGUGGGUGACGAAGUAUUUCGGUAUGUAAAGCCCUAUCAGCAGGGAAGAAGAUGACAGUACCUGACCAAGAAGCCCCGGCUAACUACGUGCCAGCAGCCGCGGUAAUACGUAGGGGGCAAGCGUUAUCCGGAUUUACUGGGUGUAAAGGGAGCGUAGGUGGCAUGGCAAGCCAGAAGUGAAAACCCGGGGCUUAACCCCGCGGAUUGCUUUUGGAACUGUCAGGCUGGAGUGCAGGAGGGGCAGGCGGAAUGCCUGGUGUAGCGGUGAAAUGCGUAGAUAUCAGGAGGAACACCGGUGGCGAAGGCGGCCUGCUGGACUGUAACUGACACUGAGGCUCGAAAGCGUGGGGAGCAAACAGGAUUAGAUACCCGUGUAGUC